CCAAAGGCUCUUUUCAGAGCCAUCCACAAUGUCUUUUAAGAAGCUG
rfam:Rattus norvegicus chromosome 17, whole genome shotgun sequence.